CCAGGCCCCCGGGGCUCCAGGAGGGGCGUCCUGGCGGCUUCUGGCCCCCCACCCGCAUCCUCCCGCCCUUCACUUGCUGCCCCUGGGUCUCCUGGAUUUCUUGUGUCACUGCAGCCAAGGCUGGGGCAACAAGACUUUUAGAAGACAGUGUGAGGUGAUCAAGGAAGCUGGAAACCAAGAUGCCUGGGAUCCCCGGAAGGGCUGAGUUUGAGGGUGAAGUGGUGAGUUCCAGGGAGCCAGGGGACAAGUCUACCAAAGGAGAUGGAGGAGCAGGCUUCUGUCCUGUCUCUGGUCUAAGCAAAAGGAAUCCUCACUGCACCCUUGUGGUCAAGGGAGCAAUGGGAAUUUCUGAGUUCUCUUCAUUGUCUGCCAAGGGCCUCAGGAGACUGGAUUGGGAGUAUCACCCACUUCCCUCACAAUGUUUUCUUGCACUUCAUCCAUGGAUUACCACGGAACACUUCCUGCCUCCAGAAAUGCCCGAAAGGCAAGUGGGCACCAGCAUCUUUAUUUAUUCUGCUCUGGACAGACAUUGCUGCAGAACUGUUAAGAAUCAAUGGCCUUCCAGAGAUAGUUCACCUUGAACUCCCCAGAGGAUUUAACCAUGGCUACUCCAUCUGACCUCUCUACUACUGGUACUUUCACUUCUGCUGAAACGACUAUGACUACUCCUGCUAAAACCACCUCUGAUGGUUUCUGGGAAUGGCUUUACAAACUGAUACAUUUUGAUUGGUGGCAUCACUGACAUGGCAUCAGUACAUGUGCUGGUUAGCCUUUGUGCCCUGGGUUCUUCUGGGGCAGAAUGUAUUCACCCCACCCAAUUGCCUGUC